GUGUCAGCCGCCGCGGUAAUACGUAGGGCGCAAGCGUUGUCCGGAAUUAUUGGGCGUAAAGAGCUUGUAGGUGGCUUGUCGCGUCUGCCGUGAAAACCCGAGGCUCAACCUCGGGCGUGCGGUGGGUACGGGCAGGCUAGAGUGUGGUAGGGGAGACUGGAACUCCUGGUGUAGCGGUGAUAUGCGCAGAUAUCAGGAAGAACACCGAUGGCGAAGGCAGGUCUCUGGGCCAUUACUGACACUGAGAAGCGAAAGCAUGGGGAGCGAACAGGAUUAGAUACCCUGGUAGUCCAUGCCGUAAACGUUGGGCACUAGGUGUGGGGAACAUUCCACGUUUUCCGCGCCGUAGCUAACGCAUUAAGUGCCCCGCCUGGGGAGUACGGCCGCAAGGCUAAAACUCAAAGGAAUUGGCGGG
rnacentral:rRNA from 1 species